rnacentral:rRNA from 1 species
ACGGAAGGCAGCAGUGGGGAAUAUUGGACAAUGGGGGAAACCCUGAUCCAGCGACGCCGCGUGAGUGAAGAAGUAUUUCGGUAUGUAAAGCUCUAUCAGCAAGGAAGAAAAUGACGGUACUUGACUAAGAAGCUCCGGCUAAAUACGUGCCAGCAGCCGCGGUAAUACGUAUGGAGCAAGCGUUAUCCGGAUUUACUGGGUGUAAAGGGAGCGUAGACGGCAAAGCAAGUCUGAAGUGAAAUCCCGGGGCUCAACCCCGGAACUGCUUUGGAAACUGUUUAGCUAGAGUGCAGGAGAGGUAAGUGGAAUUCCUAGUGUAGCGGUGAAAUGCUUAGAUAUUAGGAGGAACACCAGUGGCGAAGGCGACUUACUGGACUGCUACUGACACUGAGGCACGAAAGCGUGGGGAGCAAACAGGAUUAGAUACCCUGGUA